AGUGAACGCUGGCGGUAGGCCUAACACAUGCAAGUCGAACGGCAGCACAGGAAGGCUUGCUCUCUGGGUGGCGAGUGGCGGACGGGUGAGGAAUACAUCGGAAUCUACCUUUUCGUGGGGGAUAACGUAGGGAAACUUACGCUAAUACCGCAUACGACCUUCGGGUGAAAGCAGGGGACCUUCGGGCCUUGCGCGGAUAGAUGAGCCGAUGUCGGAUUAGCUAGUUGGCGGGGUAAAGGCCCACCAAGGCGACGAUCCGUAGCUGGUCUGAGAGGCUGAUCAGCCACACUGGAACUGAGACAAGGGGCCGACUCCAACGGGAGGCAGCAGUGGGGAAUAUUGGACAAUGGGCGCAAGCCUGAUACAGCCAUACCGCGUGGAUGAAGAAGGCCUUCGGGUUGUAAAGCCCUUUUGUUGGGAAAGAAAAGCAACCAGUUAAUACCUGGUUGUUCUGACGGUACCCAAAGAAUAAGCACCGGCUAACUUCGUGCCAGCAGCCGCCGUAA
rnacentral:rRNA from 1 species